AUACUUGCAAAACGGGUAAAAGCAACUAUAAUUAAAAGUGCCGUGCAAACGGUGAUGACGCUGAAUGUCUGGAUCUAGGUUUCAUGGACUCGGGGGCGGUACCCGACAUCUCCACCACUUAAUGCUUAUGGGGAUGAUACAGAUUCGACAGGGAUUGACGGUUCGGAACUGCGUUCGGGGUGGCUUCCGUAAAAGGCUAAAAAACAUGAAUGGCGAUAGAAUCGCUGCGAACAGCAAUGUUCGCCUUGCAGUGGCUGCCUAAGGGCGCGGGUUUUCGGGGCGAUUGUUUCGGAAAUCCAUUUUGCCAACUGCGGGGUUUCCCUGUGCCCGGCAACAGAAACAGGGAACU
rnacentral:tmRNA from 1 species